rnacentral:rRNA from 1 species
AACGAGCGACGCCGCGUGCGGGAAGAAGGCCCUUGGGUCGUAAACCGCUUUUCUUAGGGAAGAAUGUAAUGACGGUACCUAAGGAAUAAGAGGCUACUAACUCUGUGCCAGCAGUAGCGGUAAUACAGAGGCCUCAAGCGUUAUCCGGAUUUAUUGGGCGUAAAGAGCAUGUAGGCGGAUGUAUUAGUCGGAUGUCAAAUCUUCGAGCUCAACUCGAAAACUGCAUUCGAAACGGUAUGUCUAGAGACAGUCAGAGAUCAAUGGAACGUAUGGUGUAGCAGUGAAAUGCGUUGAUAUCAUACGGAACACCAAAGGCGAAGGCAUUUGGUUAGGGCUGUUCUGACGCUGAGAUGCGAAAGCGUGGGUAGCGAAUGGGAUUAGAUACCCCAGUAGUCCACGCCGUAAACGAUGCAUACUAGGUAUUAAGAGAAUCGACCCUCUUAGUGUCGUAGCUAACGCGUUAAGUAUGCCGCCUGGGAAGUACGGUCGCAAGACUA